UUCUUCAAUUAGAUUUUCCGUGAAAUUUGGUCCAGUGAUUGCAUCUCUUCCGCUUCGAAAUCCCAGUGUAACAGAUAUUUCUUCGGAGAGUCAUACAACCUGGGUCACGGCUGGGGCUGUCUGCGCAGACAUCACACUUGGAUUGUCUGCGUAGGCAUGCUAAUUACAGAUAUUGUGUCCGGCGUCCGCAUUCUUCUGUGCAGACAUUCCAUAAUGUAUUUAUGGACUCUGCAUUCAAAGAUAGACCCAAAUUAACGAGUGCAUGCUCAGGCUCUUCUCGUGCAACAGCAUUCGUGACCUGAUUGAUCAUCAAAUUCAAUUCAUUCGCUUCAGAAUCCUGAAUCCAGGUAACAAUGGGAGAUCCAACCAAAACUAGCAAGGCUUUUGGAGGUACAAGCCUCCGCCAUACUCUUGGCCUCGUCCUCAGCCCCAGCAGUUCCAGACUACUCGGUUGCCUUGAAUUCAAGCGGCUACAAACAGAAGAGGAGGGACGACUCCUAGCAUUUGUGUAUAUUUGACUUUGUCUGUUCCUCCUUCAUGAAGAGACGCAAGAAUGGUGAUAGGAUUGGUAUUGGCGGACACGUUGCAUUAAACGAUCUGGAAAUAAUUUUUUUGUAGAGAGAGGCCUCUGCUACGACGAUCGAGCGAAUGACGUUCAUAUGAUUUUAGUCAAUCCCUUCAAUGUCACUAUGUCGUGGCAUACUGCUUCCGACACCUAGUUUCCAUCAACUGGGAGAGCUUCGUAGUACCAAUUUGGAUAGUUAGGUACUGCUUAUUCAUUGUUUUUUUUUAAGAUAAUGAACUGAAAUUGAAUCGUGCAUUCAUUUACAUCACA